rnacentral:rRNA from 1 species
UACGUAGGGGGCAAGCGUUGUCCGGAAUUAUUGGGCGUAAAGCGCGUGUAGGCGGCUCGGUAAGUCUGCUGUGAAAGUCCAAGGCUCAACCUUGGAAUGCCGGUGGAUACUGUCGAGCUCGAGUCCGGAAGAGGCGAGUGGAAUUCCUGGUGUAGCGGUGAAAUGUGCAGAUAUCAGGAGGAACACCGGUGGCGAAGGCGGCAUCCUGGACCAAUUCUGACACUGAGGAGCGAAAGCCAGGGGAGCAAACGGG